rnacentral:rRNA from 1 species
AGUGAACGCUGGCGGUAGGCCUAACACAUGCAAGUCGAACGGCAGCACAGUAAGAGCUUGCUCUUACGGGUGGCGAGUGGCGGACGGGUGAGGAAUACAUCGGAAUCUACUUUUUCGUGGGGGAUAACGUAGGGAAACUUACGCUAAUACCGCAUACGACCUACGGGUGAAAGCAGGGGAUCUUCGGACCUUGCGCGAUUGAAUGAGCCGAUGUCGGAUUAGCUAGUUGGCGGGGUAAAGGCCCACCAAGGCGACGAUCCGUAGCUGGUCUGAGAGGAUGAUCAGCCACACUGGAACUGAGACACGGUCCAGACUCCUACGGGAGGCAGCAGUGGGGAAUAUUGGACAAUGGGCGCAAGCCUGAUCCAGCCAUACCGCGUGGGUGAAGAAGGCCUUCGGGCUGUAAAGCCCUUUUGUUGGGAAAGAAAAGCAGCGGGUUAAUACCCCGCUGUUCUGACGGUACCCAAAGAAUAAGCACCGGCUAACUUCGUG